rnacentral:rRNA from 1 species
AUGAACGUUGGCGGCGUGGAUUAGGCAUGCAAGUCGAGCGGGGAAGUAGCAAUACUCUAGGCGGGCCGGUAAGGGACAGUAAUGCGUAGAUACCUAACCCUCAGGUUCAGGAAUAGCUGCGGGGAAACUGCAGGUAAUACUGAAAUAAUGUCUCCGGACCAAAGGUGUGAUUCCACCGGAGGAUGGGUCUGCGUCCUAUUAGCUUGUUGGUGGGGGUAACGGCCUACCAAGGCAAUGAUGGGUAGCGGGUUUGUGAGAGCACGACCCGCGUCACUUGGGACUGAGACACUGCCCAGGACACCUUACGGGUGGCUGCAGUCGAGGAUCUUCGGCAAUGGGCGCAAGCCUGACCGAGCGACGCCGCGUGCGGGAUGAAGGCCUUCGGGUUGUAAACCGCUGUCAGAGGGGAUGAAAUGCUAUGGGGUUCUCCCCAUAGCUUUGACAUAUCCUCAGAGGGAAGUGUGGGCUAAGUUCGUGCCCAGCCAGGCCGCGGUAAGACGAACCCACACAAACGUUAUUCGGAAUUACUGGGCUUAAAGGGUGCGUAGGCGGGCGCGGAAAGUUGGGUGUGAAAUCCCUCGGCUCAACCGAGGAGAACUGCGCCCAAAACCACCCGUGCUCGAGGGAGAUAGAGGUGAGCGGAACUUAGGGUGGAGCGGUGUGAAAUGCGUUGAUAUCCUAAGGAAAACACCCGUUGGCGAAAGCGGCUCACUGGGUCUCUUCUGACGCUGAGGCACGAAAGCUAGGGGUAGCGAAACGGGAUUAGAUUAACCCCGGUAGUCCUAGCCGGUAAACGAUGAGCACUGGGUUGGAGGAUCCCUCAUAGUCCUCCAGCCGCAGCGAAAGUGUUAAGUGCUCCGCCUGGGGAGUAUGGGUCGCAAGGCUGAAAACUCAAAGAAAAUUGACGGGGGCUCACACAAGCGGUGGAGGAUGUGGCUUAAUUCGAGGCUACGCGAAGAACCUUAUCCUAGUCCUUGACAUGCACGGAAUUAACUCCUUGAAAGAGGAGCCAGGGCCUUCGGGUACAAACGUGCACAGGGUGCUGCAUUGGCUGUCGUCAGCUCGUGUUCGUGAGAUGUCGCGUUUAAGUCGCUUAACGAGGCGAAACCCUUGUCAGUAGUUGCCAACGCGUCAUGGCGGGGACUCUACUGAGACUGCCGGUGUUAAAACCGGAGGAAGGCGGGGACGACGUCAAGUCCUCAUGGCCUUUAUGACUAGGGGCUGCACACGUCCUACAAUGGCACGCACAAAGGGAAGCAAACUCGGCGAGAGCAAGCAAAAUCCCAAAAAAACGUGCCCCAGUUUCGGAUUGCAGGCUGCAACUCGCCUGCAUGAAGGCCGGAAUCGCUAGUAAUCGCGGGUCAGCAUACCGCGGUGAAUGUGUUCCUGAGCCUUGUACACACCGCCCGUCAAGCCACGAAAGUGGGGGGGGCAUCCGAAAAAGCGCCGAUGUAACCGCAAGGAGCUAAGCGCCUAAGAUGAACUCCGCGAUUGGGACU